rnacentral:rRNA from 1 species
CCUANGGGGGGCAGCAGUGGGGAAUCUUGGACAAUGGGGGCAACCCUGAUCCAGCGAUGCCGCGUGGGUGAAGAAGGCCUUCGGGUUGUAAAGCCCUUUAGGCGGGGAAGAAGGAUAUGGGCUGAAUAUGCCUGUAUUUUGACGGUACCCGCAGAAUAAGCACCGGCAAACUCUGUGCCAGCAGCCGCGGUAAUACAGAGGGGUGCGAGCGUUAAUCGGAUUUACUGGGCGUAAAGGGAGCGUAGGCGGUUGUAUGAGUGUGAUGUGAAAGCCCCGGGCUCAACCUGGGAAGCGCAUCGCAAACGAUACGACUAGAGUAUAUGAGAGGGUGGCGGAAUUUCCGGUGUAGCGGUGAAAUGCGUAGAGAGCGGAAGGAACGUCAAUGGCGAAGGCAGCCACCUGGCAUAAUACUGACGCUGAGGCUCGAAAGCGUGGGGAGCGAACAGGAUUAGAUACCCCANUANUC